GACUAUGGCCAUCCCACCCUGAACAAGCCUGAUCCCAUCUGAUCUCGGAAGCUAAGCACGGUCAGGCCUGGUUAAUAUUUGGAUGGGAGACCACCUAGGAAUACCAGGUGCUGUAGGCG
rnacentral:rRNA from 1 species